AUACGGAGGAUCCGAGCGUUAUCCGGAUUUAUUGGGUUUAAAGGGUGCGUAGGCGGCUUUAUAAGUCAGGGGUGAAAUACGGCAGCUCAACUGUCGCAGUGCCUUUGAUACUGUAGAGCUUGAAUGUGGUUGAAGAUGGCGGAAUGAGACAAGUAGCGGUGAAAUGCAUAGAUAUGUCUCAGAACACCGAUUGCGAAGGCAGCUGUCUAAGCCAUAAUUGACGCUGAUGCACGAAAGCGUGGGGAUCAAACAGGAUUAGAUACCCUGGUAGUCCACGCCCUAAACGAUGAUAACUCGAUGUUAGCGAUAUACCGUUAGCGUCUUAGCGAAAGCGUUAAGUUAUCCACCUGGGGAGUACGCCCGCAAGGGUGAA
rnacentral:rRNA from 1 species